CAAGUUAGAGCUUGUAUAUAAAGCAUUUUAUUUACAUUAAGAAGUUAAUUGUGAAAAUCAAUUUAAUUUGA